UACGUAGGGUGCGAGCGUUAAUCGGAAUUACUGGGCGUAAAGCGUGCGCAGGCGGUGAUGUAAGACCGAUGUGAAAUCCCCGGGCUUAACCUGGGAAUUGCAUUCGAGACUGCAUUGCUGGAGUACGGAAGAGGAAGGCGGAAUUCCCGGUGUAGCGGUGAAAUGCGUAGAUAUCGGGAGGAACAUCAGUGGCGAAGGCGGCCUUCUGGUCCAGUACUGACACUCAAGUGCGAAAGCGUGGGGAGCAAACAGG
rnacentral:rRNA from 1 species